rnacentral:rRNA from 1 species
AUUGAACGCUGGCGGCAGGCCUAACACAUGCAAGUCGAGCGUGCGGCGGACGGGUGCGUAAUGUCCGGGAACCUGCCCGAUGGAGGGGGAUAACUACUGGAAACGGUAGCUAAUACCGCAUACCAUCAGAUGUGCCCAGAUGGGAUUAGCUAGUAGGUGGGGUAACGGCUCACCGAGUCGACGAUCCCUAUCUGGUCUGAGAGGAUGGCCGACGACACGGGAACUAGGACACGGACCAGAGUCCUCCGUGAGGCAGCAGUGGGGAAUAUAGCACAAUAGGGGGAAGCCUGUUGCAGCGAUGGCGCGUGUGUGAAGAAGGCCUUCGCGUUGUAAAGCACUUUCAGCGGGGAGGCGUUACCCGCAGAAGAAGCACCGGCUAACUCCGUGCCAGCAGCCGCGGUAAUUC